CUGCAUUUUUAAAAAUUCUGUGCAUGUACUUUAUGGAGUACAUUCUAUUUUUGUUUUCAGAUACCCUACAACCAAUUUUUUUUAGUAAUCUUUUAGAAUUGAAAUUAUCAUAAAUGAUCGAGAAUAAUCAUCACAUAGUUUAAGAUUGUAUAUGUUGAGUAGUUUAAAACAAUCUUUGCAUUUUACAGUAAGAAUCAAAGUCCCUUCAGUGUGCCUUUGUCAGCUAAUAUGUGACCAGCAAUGACAACCUUGGGAGUAUUUAUUAAAUAUUAUGCUAUGAAUAUAGGCAACACAGAACAGGGUUUGCAGUAUAGCGUCUUGAUGCUAAAUUCUCAUAUACCUCUACACGAGAAAUAUGGAGGAGAAAAACAAGCAUUUACAUAUAUUCUUCGUCACUUUGAAGAUGCAUGGCCUGAACUCGACUGCUUGUGUUUGUUUACAUAUCAGGCAUACCCAGGCAUCUCCUGCAGCCAGAGGUUCCAUUGCUGUCUUUGCUCAGUCCUCUUUUAAAAUAUGAAUUAGUGGACAGGCACGGUGCCUCACACCUGUAAUCCCAGCACUUUGGGAGGUCGAGGCAGGUGGAUCACGAGGUCAGGAGAUCAAGACCAUCCUGGCUACCACUGAAACCCCAUCUCUACUACAAAAAAAUUAGCCGGGCGUGGUGGCGGGCACCUGCAGUCCCAGCUACUCGGGAGGCUGAGGCAGGAGAAUGGUGGGAACCCGGGAGGCAGAGCUUGCAGUGAGCCAAGAUCACGCCACUGCACUCCAGCCUGGGCAACAGAGCAAGACUCUGUCUCAAAAAAAAUAAAUAAAUAAAUUAUGAAUGAGUAUUUUCUAGAAAUUCAACUUGCUAAGCCUGUAAUACUUAAGGGUAGUUUAUCUAGAUACAGUACUUUCUUCCCUGAUAAGUAGUAUCAUUGGAGCCCUUAGGUAUAGGAGAAGAGGAAGAAGUUUAAAAAGUGUAAGUGGGCCGGGCGUGGUGGCUCAUGCCUGUAAUCCCAGCACUUUGGGAGGCCGAGGGGGGCGGAUCACGAGGUCAGGAGAUCCAGACUAUCCUGGCUAACAAGGUGAAACCCCGUCUCUACUAAAAAUACAAAAAAAAACAUUAGCCAGGCGUGGUGGCGGGCGCUUGUAGUCCCAGCUACUCGGGAGGCUGAGGUAGGAGAAUGGCUUGAACCCAGGAGGCGGAGCUUGCAGUGAGCCGAGAUUGCACCACUGCACUCCAGCCUGGGCGACAGAGCAAGACUCCGUCUCAAAAAAAAAAAAAAAGUGUAAGUGGAUUAAAAGAGAAACUUGGUCUAGUUCAUAAUAUUUUUAAUAGGGCUUUCCCUGGCUGCUGGAAAACUUAGGCCAGUAAGCAUCUCUUUGUUUAAAGUCCUACAAGACAAUUUGAAAUAAUUCAUUGUUCAUGCCAAAAUUCUAAGUACUGUUUUUCUUAGCAAGUGUAACAUAAUCAGGAACAAUGGGUACAAGUAAAACAUUCUUUGGAUGAUAUUCAAAGCCUUAUUAGCACUGCACCUGAAUAAUAGGUCAUUUUGCCUCACUCAUUUGCCAAAGUAGCCAUUUCUAAGUUAAGGAAGUUUUUAGAUAGGCUCAUAGCCUUGUAUUUCGUUUUAGAUUGUAAGCUCAAUGGCAGGGAUACUAUAUUGGUAAUUAUGUUUUCAUAUAGCAACCACCACAGUAUAUUCUUGGUGCUUAAUAAAUGUUUAUAAUUGUUAAC
rnacentral:lncRNA from 10 species